rnacentral:rRNA from 1 species
CCUACGGGAGGCAGCAGUGAGGAAUAUUGGUCAAUGGACGCAAGUCUGAACCAGCCAAGUAGCGUGCAGGAUGACGGCCCUCCGGGUUGUAAACUGCUUUUAGUUGGGAAUAAAAGGGGGCUCGUGAGCCCCGUAUUGUAUGUACCAUCAGAAAAAGGACCGGCUAAUUCCGUGCCAGCAGCCGCGGUAAUACGGAAGGUCCGGGCGUUAUCCGGAUUUAUGGGGUUUAAAGGGAGCGUAGGCCGGCUUUUAAGGCAGCUGUGAAAGUCCGCGGCUCAACCGUGGAAUUGCAGUUGAAACUGGAGGCCUUGAGUGCACACAGGGAUGCCGGAAUUCAUGGUGUAGCGGGGAAAUGCUUAGAUAUCAUGAAGAACUCCGAUCGCGAAGGCAAGUGUCCGGGGUGCAACUGACGCUGAGGCUCGAAAGUGCGGGUAUCAAACAGGAUUAGAUACCCGUGUAGUC